rnacentral:rRNA from 1 species
GACGAACGCUGGCGGCGUGCUUAACACAUGCAAGUCGAACGGAAAGGCCCUGCUUUUGUGGGGUGCUCGAGUGGCGAACGGGUGAGUAACACGUGAGUAACCUGCCCUUGACUUUGGGAUAACUUCAGGAAACUGGGGCUAAUACCGGAUAGGAGCCCCUGCUGCAUGGUGGGGGUUGGAAAGUUUCGGCGGUUGGGGAUGGACUCGCGGCUUACCAGCUUGUUGGUGGGGGAGUGGCUUACCAAGGCUUUGACGGGUAGCCGGCCUGAGAGGGUGACCGGCCACAUUGGGACUGAGGUACGGCCCAGACUCCUACGGGGGGCAGCAGUGGGGAAUAUUGCACAAUGGGCGGAAGCCUGAUGCAGCAGCGCCGCGUGCGGGAUGACGGCCUUCUGGUUGUAAACCGCUUUCGCCUGUGACGAAGCGUGAGUGACGGUAAUGGGUAAAGAAGCACCGGCUAACUACGUG